rnacentral:rRNA from 1 species
CCUAACACAUGCAAGUCGAACGGAGCUGAGAGGAGCUUGCUUUUCUCAGCUUAGUGGCGAACGGGUGAGUAACGCGUGAGUAACCUGCCCUGGAGUGGGGGACAACAGUUGGAAACGACUGCUAAUACCGCAUAAGCCCACGAUCCGGCAUCGGAUUGAGGGAAAAGGAUUUAUUCGCUUCAGGAUGGACUCGCGUCCAAUUAGCUAGUUGGUGAGGUAACGGCCCACCAAGGCGACGAUUGGUAGCCGGACUGAGAGGUUGAACGGCCACAUUGGGACUGAGACACGGCCCAGACUCCUACGGGAGGCAGCAGUGGGGGAUAUUGCACAAUGGGGGAAACCCUGAUGCAGCGACGCCGCGUGGAGGAAGAAGGUUUUCGGAUUGUAAACUCCUGUCGUUAGGGACGAUAAUGACGGUACCUAACAAGAAAGCACCGGCUAACUACGUGCCAGCAGCCGCGGUAAAACGUAGGGUGCAAGCGUUGUCCGGAAUUACUGGG